CAUGGAUUAAGCAUGGAUGUGUAGCAUAGAAAUUUCAUGCAAAGUGAUCUUAACAUGCCUAUUUCCAUCUGGUCCACCUUAAUACUUUAGUGAGAUCAUUUUCAAAUAAGUUCAGAGAUAAUAAAUCAAAACUUUAUAACUGAAAAUUUCUUUAACCUUAAACCAUAUCCAAAAUGACAGUAUAUGUGUCUAGCACAAAAAUGCAAACUCCCACUGAAACUAAAUAUCCUUAAGCUACAUUACACCCAUAUGAGCAGUGUGCUCAUGAAAGAUCUUGGGUAUCAAUUCCUUAGUGAGCGGAUCCGCAAUUAUGGAGUUUGUCUGAUGUGCUUUUUUGACACCUAUUUACUCUGAACUCAUUCUUUAACAGCCAGAAACUUGAUCUCUAUAUGUUUUGAUUUUGUCGAGCUCCUGUUGUUAUUGGAAUACAG
rnacentral:lncRNA from 1 species